rnacentral:lncRNA from 1 species
UCUACACUAUCUCCCCUAAUUUAUGUUACCUUUGUAGGAGCUGCACGUGGAGAGGGAUUGUCACUUGCUAUGCAUAGCAAUGCUUUUCAUUCAGCAAAACCCAGUUACUCAACUGUCCCUUCAACAUUCAUGCUUCGCUUCCUCUCACUAAGAAGUUUUGACAUCUGCUUUUUCUGCACCUGUUGAUAGCAACUUAUCCCUAAGAUAUAUCAAGGGACCUUUUUAUCUUCAAGGGCAUUUCUGCUACCUCAUAUUGCUGACACUAAUGGAGAAGGCUCAGUGAGUAUUAUUCACAAUUUUUUAAAAAGAAUUUCCUUCUAGGCAUUUUCACAAUCCUUUUUAUUUCCCC